rnacentral:rRNA from 1 species
UACGUAGGGGACUAGCGUUGUCCGGAUUUAUUGGGCGUAAAGAGCGCGUAGGCGGCCGAGUAAGUCCGACGUGAAAUCUGGAGGCUCAACCUCCAGCGGUCGUUGGAAACUACUCGGCUAGAGUCCGGAAGAGGAGAGUGGAAUUCCUGGUGUAGCGGUGAAAUGCGCAGAUAUCAGGAAGAACACCCGUGGCGAAAGCGGCUCUCUGGAACGGUACUGACGCUGAGACGCGAAAGCGUGGGGAGCGAACAGG